rnacentral:lncRNA from 1 species
AUUAAUUAGCCCAAUGCAUUAUAUAUAAUGCUCAACUUAAAACAUACCGCAAUCCUAAUAAAUUUAGAUUCCGAUUUUAAUUAAUAUCUAAAUUUAUUUUAAUUUAUCUCUAAUAGAUUUAAAUAUUAAUCAUAAUCUAGUUAGAUUUAUACUCUAAUUAAUAUUUAAAUCUUAAUUUAUCUCCAACAGAUUUAAAUAUUAAUUCUAAUCCAACUAGAAUUAAUCUACAAAUCUAACCAAAUCCUAACAUUUGUAGUCAUAAUCAGGUA